rnacentral:rRNA from 1 species
AGCCUACAGGCUUAACACAUGCAAGUCGCGGGGCAGCAUGAGGGAAGCUUGCUUCCUUUGAUGGCGACCGGCGCACGGGUGCGUAACGCGUAUCCAACCUUCCCCUUGGUAGGGCACAGCCCGGCGAAAGUCGGAUUAAUUCCCUAUGUUGUCCGAUGCAGGCAUCUAAGUUGGACGAAAGAUUCAUCGCCGAGGGAUGGGGAUGCGUAGGAUUAGGUAGUCGGCGGGGUAACGGCCCACCGAGCCAUCGAUCCUUAGGGGUUCUGAGAGGAAGGUCCCCCACACUGGAACUGAGACACGGUCCAGACUCCUACGGGAGGCAGCAGUGAGGAAUAUUGGUCAAUGGUCGGAAGACUGAACCAGCCAAGUAGCGUGCAGGAUGACGGCCCUAUGGGUUGUAAACUGCUUUUAUGCGGGGAUAAAGUGGGGGACGUGUCCCUUUUUGCAGGUACCGCAUGAAUAAGGACCGGCUAAUUCCGUGCCAGCAGCCGCGGUAAUACGGAAGGUCCGGGCGUUAUCCGGAUUUAUUGGGUUUAAAGGGAGCGCAGGCGGCACUUCAAGCGUGACGUUAAAUUUCGGGGCUCACCCCCGUCUUGCGUCGCGAACUGUCGUGCUUGAGUGCGCCGUAGGCAGGUGGAAUUCGUGGUGUAGCGGUGAAAUGCUUAGAUAUCACGAGGAACCCCGAUAGCGAAGGCAGCCUGCAGUGGCGUUACUGACGCUCAUGCUCGAAGGUGCGGGUAUCGAACAGGAUAGAUACCCUGGUAGUCCCACUGUAAACGAUGGAUGCCCCCUGUCCGG